rnacentral:rRNA from 1 species
UACGAAGGGGGCUAGCGUUGCUCGGAUUGACUGGGCGUAAAGGGCGCGUAGGCGGUUUGCAUAGUCAGACGUGAAAUUCCUGGGCUUAACCUGGGGGCUGCGUUUGAUACAUGCAGGCUUGAGUUCGGAAGAGGGUCGUGGAAUUCCCAGUGUAGAGGUGAAAUUCGUAGAUAUUGGGAAGAACACCGGUGGCGAAGGCGGCGACCUGGUCCGAUACUGACGCUGAGGCGCGAAAGCGUGGGGAGCAAACGGG